UACAGAGGGUGCGAGCGUUGUCCGGAAUCACUGGGCGUAAAGGGCGCGUAGGCGGCUGGGUAAGCGUGCGGUGAAAGUCCGGGGCUCAACCCCGGAUCGGCCAUGCGAACUGUCCAGCUGGAGCACGGUAGAGGCACAUGGAAUUCCGGGUGUAGCGGUGGAAUGCGUAGAGAUCCGGAAGAACACCGGUGGCGAAGGCGGUGUGCUGGGCCGUAGCUGACGCUGAGGCGCGACAGCGUGGGGAGCAAACAGG
rnacentral:rRNA from 1 species